UACGUAGGGGGCGAGCGUUGUCCGGAUUCAUUGGGCGUAAAGAGCUCGUAGGCGGCUUGGCAAGUCGGAUGUGAAAACUCCAGGCUCAACCUGGAGCCGCCAUUCGAUACUGCUAUGGCUAGAGUCCGGUAGGGGAGUGUGGAAUUCCCGGUGUAGCGGUGAAAUGCGCAGAUAUCGGGAGGAACACCGGUGGCGAAGGCGGGUCUCUGGGCAGUAACUGACGCUGAGGAGCGAAAGCGUGGGGAGCGAACAGG
rnacentral:rRNA from 1 species